AAACAUGCCUCCGAUUGUGAAAGCCAGAACUUUUUGCAAAAUAAUUCAAAAAGUUUGCUGAACCUUAAACCUUUCCUGAAGAUGCCUUCCUUCUGAAGUUAACUCACUAAAGUUGC
rnacentral:lncRNA from 1 species